rnacentral:rRNA from 1 species
GCCCUACGGGACGCAGCAGUGGGGAAUAUUGCACAAUGGGGGAAGCCCUGAUGCAGCAACGCCGCGUGAGUGAAGAAGUAUUUCGGUAUGUAAAGCUCUAUCAGCAGGGAAGAAGAUGACGGUACCUGAAUAAGAAGCCCCGGCUAACUACGUGCCAGCAGCCGCGGUAAUACGUAGGGGGCAAGCGUUAUCCGGAUUUACUGGGUGUAAAGGGAGCGCAGACGGCAGUGCAAGUCUGGAGUGAAAACCCGGGGCUUAACCCCGCGGAUUGCUUUUGGAACUGUCAGGCUGGAGUGCAGGAGGGG